CAGGAUAUAAGCAGGGAGAAACAGGAAAUCGCUCUCCUGUCUGCUGAGAUAAUAAGGAGGUGAGGUGAGUUGUGACUUGCUUCUUCUCUCUGAUCUCUCAGCAUUUCCCUCUAUAUCUGACUAUGGCUUUUUAUUAUCGAGACCAAUUAAGAACUCCAUCUACAUGUGGAGAUUUCAGAAACUGGAAUGAGUGUGUGCUUCCUCAGAAGGAAUGGAAGACCAAGACAAUUCUCUGCUCUGUCACGGAAGACUUCAAAGAUUCAAAUGUUGGGACCUGACUACCCAUUUCCCGUGAUGGCUAUACCUGGAGAUGAAGGAGCAAAGAUAAAUGAAGCUAAAAGGGUGGAGCUCUGAUCCGACACCAUUGGUGUUGCUGUGAGAAAAGACCUAGGAGCUCACUCUAUCCGCCAUGCUUAUGCUACUUGAAGUCCCGGUGAGGAAGCAUCCACGUGAAAACCAGGAGGAGCCUUCUUGAAAUUCUGAAAUUGGUGACCCUGAUGUGAACUCAGCAGCCCCCAAAGCUCUAAGAAAAUAAACGGCUAUGGUUUAUGCCCCUCAGCUCAGGGUAUUGUGUCACGCACUCUCUGGCCUGCCGGAAGUGCAGGCACCAUCGCAUGCCACUCCUGAUGCUAUGACAGAGUCCCUCUAGGCUGACCACGUGACCACCAGCACCUGCUGGACCAGGCUCCAAGCCAGCUCACCUGCACUCCCACAGCUACCAGAAGCAACAGAAUUGAAAGAAAGAAAUGGGUUUUCUACCUUCAGUAUGGAAAACAUUGCUUUGAAAGGUGUUAUGUUUUUACGUAAUGGACCCAUACACCUUCCUUCCCCACCUCAACUUGUCUCUUUGGAUAACCUUUGCUGUACAGAAAACUUUACAUGAUUAAAUUUUCAAAAAUUCCGAUCCUA